AACGAACGCUGGCGGCACGUUUUAAGCAUGCAAGUCGAACGGCAGUGGGGGCAACCCCAUGAGAGUGGCGAACGGGUGAGUAACACGUAGGUGAUCUGCCUUUGGGUUGGGGAUAGCUUGUGGAAACACAGGGUAAUACCGAAUGAGCUGACGAGGCUUUGGCCAUGUUAGUAAAGGUGCUACGGCACCGCCUAGAGAGGAGCCUGCGGCUGAUUAGCUAGUUGGUGGGGUAAAGGCCUACCAAGGCGACGAUCAGUAGCCGGCCUGAGAGGGUGUACGGCCACACUGGAACUGAGACCCGGUCCAGACUCCUACGGGAGGCAGCAGCUAAGAAUCUUCCGCAAUGGGCGAAAGCCUGACGGAGCGAUGCCGCGUGAUCGAUGAAGGUCGAGAGAUUGUAAAGAUCUUUUCCAACUGAGGAAUAAGUGGACCGGGGAAUGGGUUCAUGAUGACGUUAAGUUGGGAAUAAGCCCCGGCUAAUUACGUGCCAGCAGCCGCCGUAA
rnacentral:rRNA from 1 species